rnacentral:piRNA from 1 species
UAGUAGAUAAGAUUCAUGAGA